rnacentral:rRNA from 1 species
AUUGAACGCUAGCGGCAUGCCUUACACAUGCAAGUCGAACGGCAGCACGGGAUCUUGCUCCUGGUGGCGAGUGGCGAACGGGUGAGUAAUACAUCGGAACGUAUCCAGUAGUGGGGGAUAACGCACCGAAAGGUGCGCUAAUACCGCAUACGACCUACGGGUGAAAGCGGGGGACCGUAAGGCCUCGCGCUAUUGGAGCGGCCGAUGUCUGAUUAGCUAGUUGGUGAGGUAAAGGCUCACCAAGGCUUCGAUCAGUAGCUGGUCUGAGAGGACGAUCAGCCACACUGGGACUGAGACACGGCCCAGACUCCUACGGGAGGCAGCAGUGGGGAAUUUUGGACAAUGGGCGAAAGCCUGAUCCAGCAAUGCCGCGUGUGCGAAGAAGGCCUUCGGGUUGUAAAGCACUUUUGUCAGGGAAGAAAUCUUUUAGGCUAAUACCCUGGAAGGAUGACGGUACCUGAAGAAUAAGCACCGGCUAACUACGUGCCAGCCGCCGCAGUAA